GACUGCCAGUGUAGAAGGAUCUCUGGUUGGAGAUCCUUUCCUUGUGGAGUCGUUCCUGUGAGCCUAGAUGUUUGGAGACAGGGAGUGCGUGGAGUGGUGUGUGGGGAUCAUAGCUACAGCAUCAAGCCGUUCUCCAAUAGCAGGGUGCUGCCGCUCCUCGUUAAGCGGGUAGACACACGGGUGCUUUUGUGGCAGCUGCUGUUUUGUGCUCUGGAUGGACUUUGUCUUCAGUCUUCCCAAAUUGCGCUUUGUGGGCUGCCACAACCAAGCCCUGGGAAAUUCUUGUGAGUUUGAAGAAACUAGAAGGUGCUUAGCAGGACUGAAAAAUGUGUUUUUGAAAUAUCAGCAUCUAAAACAGAGCAGUGACAAAAUGAGCUGGAUCUGAUGUCUCAGAAAAUUGCAGCAUUUCAGCACUACUGAUCUCAAGUUGGGAAAAGAUUGGAAGCAAAGUGUGCAGGGGUCUUUUACUUCAUUAUUUUGUAGUGAGAAUGGAGUAUUUCAGCAUUUAUAAAUUGUGCUGUUGGUUUUAAUCCCUUUUUGCUGUAGGGCCCAUAUGGGACCAUACUUCUGUAAUAUUCUGUGCAUCUUUCCCUAUCCUCCAUUUUUCCAGCUCACCUGCUCGUGUUGGCUGUCAUGUGCAGUACGCUUGUUUUUGAUUGCAUCUCAUCUGUCCCAAAGCUAACACAGAAUCAGCCCUUUAGAGUGUGAGAACAGCCACCAUAGCAGAGAGACGACAGGAAGAACAAGUGCUUGAGUUAAUGUGUGUACUAGACCAACAGAUGAACAACUUCCUGGAAAGCAACCAAAGUGGAAUGAACUAGAGUUAUAAAUAAAGCAUUGCUAGUGCAUGUACGGCAAGUCUGGAAGCUUGUCAUAGCGCCUGCUUUUUAUUAUGCUGUUUUUUGUCAGUGUUUGACACAUGCCCUGGCUUGUAGUAGAGCAACAUUUGUGCGCUCUUGUUUUCCCAAAAAAAAACAAGUGAGCCUGCUUUGUUCCAUUCAGGAAACAAAAUCUGCAACCAUGCAUUUAAAAAAACUGGGGAACGCAUUGUACAGCCAGCGUUUAUCCUCUGACAGCCAUGUUCCAAGAGGGAAUGGAUUUUUAAACACAGGUGUUUGGAGGAAGUUUUCAACUUGGCCUAAAAGAAUUUGUCAGGCCUGUGAACCCCACAAAACCCUGCUAGAGAUGGUUCACAGUUGGUUUGUGGCAGAGGCAGGCAUACUGGCCUGAUGCUGGAGCACCACACUACCUGAGGAAGAGUUGGCCUUGUAAGCUGGAGCAGUGUGGGAAGGGCUGGCAAGAUCUGCCAGCUUGAACCAGGACUUCUUCCACCAUCCCUGGAAGCACUAUGUUGAGGAGGAGCUGGAGCAGAAAAGAAUGCUUUGGCUAGAGGAAAGAGUUGUUAUUGCUUUUGGUUUGCUCCUCAAUCAGCAGUCAGAUGAUUGAAUUUGCAGUACAUAAGGCUACAGCAACAAUAGCCUUCCUCUUAAUAAAAAACUAGCACCUUACAAAGGGUGAGCAGUUGCUGUCUGUAGUGUGUGGUCUUAGUUCUUCUAAUAGAAAGUAAGCAUUUGUCUCCAUAAGCAGGA
ensembl:lncRNA